AUUGGGCGUAAAGAGCUUGUAGGUGGCUUGUCGCGUCUGCCGUGAAAACCCGAGGCUCAACCUCGGGCGUGCGGUGGGUACGGGCAGGCUAGAGUGUGGUAGGGGAGACUGGAACUCCUGGUGUAGCGGUGAAAUGCGCAGAUAUCAGGAAGAACACCGAUGGCGAAGGCAGGUCUCUGGGCCAUUACUGACACUGAGAGGCGAAAGCAUGGGUAGCGAACAGGAUUAGAUACCGUGGUAGUCCAUGCCGUAAACGUUGGGCACUAGGUGUGGGGGACAUUCCACGUUUUCCGCGCCGUAGCUAACGCAUUAAGUGCCCCGCCUGGGGAGUACGGCCGCAAGGCUAAAACUCAAAGGAAUUGACGGGGGCCCGCACAAGCGGCGGAGCAUGCUGAUUAAUUCGAUGCAACGCGAAGAACCUUACCAAGGCUUGACAUGCACUGGACGGCUGCAGAGAUGUGGCUUUCUUUGGACUGGUGCACAGGUGGUGCAUGGUUGUCGUCAGCUCGUGUCGUGAGAUGUUGGGUUAAGUCCCGCAACGAGCGCAACCCUCGUUCUAUGUUGCCAGCACGUGAUGGUGGGGACUCAUAGGAGACUGCCGGGGUCAACUCGGAGGAAGGUGGGAACGACGUCAAAUCAUCAUGCCCCUUAUGUCUUGGGCUUCAAGCAUGCUACAAUGGUCGGUACAAUGGGUUGCGAAACUGUGAGGUGGAGCGAAUCCCAAAAAGCCGGCCUCAGUUCGGAUUGGGGUCUGCAACUCGACCCCAUGAAGUCGGAG
rnacentral:rRNA from 1 species